rnacentral:rRNA from 1 species
GACGAACGCUGGCGGCGUGCCUAAUACAUGCAAGUAGAACGCUGAAGAGAGGAGCUUGCUCUUCUUGGAUGAGUUGCGAACGGGUGAGUAACGCGUAGGUAACCUGCCUUGUAGCGGGGGAUAACUAUUGGAAACGAUAGCUAAUACCGCAUAACAAUAGGUGACACAUGUCAUUUAUUUGAAAGGGGCAAUUGCUCCACUACAAGAUGGACCUGCGUUGUAUUAGCUAGUAGGUGAGGUAACGGCUCACCUAGGCGACGAUACAUAGCCGACCUGAGAGGGUGAUCGGCCACACUGGGACUGAGACACGGCCCAGACUCCUACGGGAGGCAGCAGUAGGGAAUCUUCGGCAAUGGGGGCAACCCUGACCGAGCAACGCCGCGUGAGUGAAGAAGGUUUUCGGAUCGUAAAGCUCUGUUGUAAGUCAAGAACGAGUGUGAGAGUGGAAAGUUCACACUGUGACGGUAGCUUACCAGAAAGGGACGGCUAACUACGUG